GCAAAAACAAGGGAUUAAAGGUCUUUAAAUUUCCUCUAAAUGAUAAGGAAUGCUGUAAAAGAUGGGCAGCAGCUGUGAGACGAGAGCACUGCAGCAAAGAAGAGCUCCAUGAUAAAUGAUGAGCAUUUGUAAUGUACAUUACUGGAGCUUAACCAGUAUACUGGAGAACUUGACAGUGUCUCAACUCAUCCAGACUACAUUCCAAGCCUUUUCCUUCAGUUUAUAAAUCUCAGUAAAGAUUCUAGCAACAUUAUGGCAGAUUUGCAACGUCUUACAGCUGCUGUCCAUCUUUCACAGCAUUCCUCAUCCUUUAAAAGGGAUCUAAAGACUUUUAAUUCUCUUUUUUUGCCCAACCAGUCAUUGCAUUUGACUAAACAGCAGCUUUUAGGCAUCUCCUCCAUAGACACAGCUAUAAUCUUUCCCCCCAGUGGGUGAAAUCUGACCGCACCCUAUCGUGAAUACAAUUUACAUC